UGAGCAUGUAACUCAGUGGAUUAGAGUACCAAAUUCCGACUUUGGUUGUCGAAGGUUCAAAUCCUUCCCUGCUCAU
rnacentral:tRNA from 1 species